CAAACGCUGCUGGGUUCGUGAAGCAUAGAAUUUCCGGGGCUAAAUACUCCAAGGGAGCUGUCCCUGUCGGACUCUUGGGUUCGGUAUAUGGCGCCCACCUAGACCAACCAGGCCUAGGAAAACUGGUGCUUAACGGCCUACGCGGCGUCCCC
rnacentral:other from 1 species